rnacentral:rRNA from 1 species
UAUUGGACAAUGGGCGAAAGCCUGAUCCAGCAAUACCGCGUGUGUGAAGAAGGCCUUAGGGUUGUAAAGCACUUUCAAUUGGGAGGAAAACCUGCCGGUCAAUACCCGGUAGCUUGACAUUACCUUUAGAAGAAGCACCGGCUAACUCCGUGCCAGCAGCCGCGGUAAUACGGAGGGUGCGAGCGUUAAUCGGAAUUACUGGGCGUAAAGCGUGCGUAGGCGGUUCGUUAAGUCAGAUGUGAAAGCCCUGGGCUCAACCUGGGAACUGCAUUUGAAACUGGCGGACUAGAGUUUAGUAGAGGGGAGUGGAAUUUCAGGUGUAGCGGUGAAAUGCGUAGAUAUCUGAAGGAACGCCAGUGGCGAAGGCGACUCCCUGGACUAGAACUGACGCUGAGUACGAAA